rnacentral:lncRNA from 1 species
CAGAGCUUACAAAAAGCUUGAUUGAAAAGAGAAGAGAAUGGAACACGGUAUGAUGACAACAAAGAGAAAAGGAGCCAAGAUUAGUCUGGACAGUAUGCAGACAUUGACUCUGCUUUGAGGACAGAGCUGGAAUUAAUUUCACGUGCACCACAUAAGGUAAAGAAAACAGCUUCAGACCAUGAUUAUCUACGAUAUGGGGUCUGGGUUUGCAGAUUAAUUUUAACAUAAGAAAAUGAAGUGACAGCUGAGGAUCUUUCAUGACACACUGCUGAGC